AGAUGUGAGAGCAAUCUGGCUGUGACAUCUGUCACUCCAUUGAUCUACCAAGGUUGGUUCAGCUAAUAAGGCUCUGGCUCCCUGGAUAGGUGUCCCCUCCUUUCCAGUCCUCUCCUUGUGCUUCCCUCCUGAAGCUGUGCUCAGUCAAAGAGGACAGCCAUCCCUAAAUAGAGACAGAGCAGGCUUUGAUCAAGAGAAUAGAGCU
rnacentral:snRNA from 1 species